rnacentral:rRNA from 1 species
ACUCAAAUGAAUUGACGGGGACCCGCACAAGCGGUGGAGCAUGUGGUUUAAUUCGAUACGACGCGCAGAACCUUACCAAGGCUUGACAUGGGAAGUAGUAAUACUACUAAACAGAGAAAUCUGUUGAAUCACACAGGUGGUGCAUGGUCGUCGUCAGUUCGUGCUGUGAAGCGUAUGCUUAAGUGCUAGAACGAACGCAACCCUCAUAUUUAGUUGCUACCAUUUAGUUGAGAACCCUAAAUAGACUGCCAGGGUAACCUGGAGGAAGGAGAGGAUGACGUCUGAUCAUCAUGCCCCUUAUGCCUUGGGCUACACACGUGCUACAAUGGUUAGGACAAAGGGUCGCUAACUUGCAAAAGGGAGCCAAUCUCAAAAAACUAACCUCAGUUCGGAUUGAGGUCUGCAACUCGACCUCAUGAAGUCGGAAUCGCUAGUAAUCGUGAAUCAGCAAUGUCACGGUGAAUACGUUCUCGGGUCUUGUACACACCGCCCGU